rnacentral:rRNA from 1 species
AACGAACGCUGGCGGCGCGCCUAAUACAUGCAAGUCGAACGAGAAGGUGUAGCAAUACACUUGUACAGUGGCGAACGGGUGAGGAAUACAUGGGUAACCUACCCUCGAGUGGGGAAUAACUAGCCGAAAGGUUAGCUAAUACCGCGUACGCUCCUUGGACUUCGGUUCAGGGAGGAAAGCGAUACCGUGGGUAUCGCGCUCUUGGAUGGGCUCAUGUCCUAUCAGCUUGUUGGNGAGGUAACGGCUCACCAAGGCUUCGACGGGUAGCCGGUCUGAGAGGACAAUCAGCCACACUGGCACUGCGACACGGGCCAGACUCCUACGGGAGGCAGCAGUAAGGAAUAUUGCGCAAUGGGCGAAAGCCUGACGCAGCGACGCCGC